CUUUGGCCGACCUCUGACCCCCUUUGUCGCAAAGAAAAUAUUCAAGUGAACACAAACGUAGUCAGAAUAUAUUAUGAGCUCCUUUCCUCCACAAAUCUCCAUCAUCCAGCUUCUGAAUCAUCAGCUGUGGUCAGUUUGGCUUUACCUUUUUUCUUUUAAUCUCUGCUAUUCUAAUGAUUUGGUUGCCUGUUUUCUUUUUGCAGAUUCUGAUCAUCUUGUAAUGGACAGGACUUUCUG
rnacentral:sRNA from 1 species